CUGAAAUAUAUAAUAAAAAACAAAAUGUGAAACAUGUAAUGUCUUUCGAGUUAUAUAAUGAGUAACUUUAUUAUAAGUGUCCAACAAUUGUAAAAACAACAUUAUUAAAAUAUGAAACAAAGUGUAUAACCUUAUCAAAGUAUAAAACAAAGUGCUUUAUUACAAAUUCGCUUAUCGUAAAAAUAACCUUAUCAAUGUCAUCAUUUAAGGGAUUAAUGCCCUUCUUGAACCCUAUGAAAUGUGGGUUUUACAUUUCUCCAGCAACAAUAUUAAUGCUGACAUUCUGAUAAACAGUUGUUCAAUUAAAAAACAUUUAAAUUAAGCUUUGGUGGGUGCACCAAGCCCUUGCAGUAGUGCAACGCAUGGGCGACGCUCGAGAACCCCAGCAGCAAGCUACCGUAAUGGGCCCUCCCCAUAAAAAAAUUAAUUUAAUAUCAUGUGAGCCAAUGGCCCACGUAUCAGAUAUUAAACUGAUAAGAACAGAUACUACACUUGAUCUUAGCCAAAAGGCCGAGAAGCGAUAACCCCCAAGUGGUGGAUGUCCGUGCGGAGCUCUUGGCACAAAUCUCACGUGUUGUGGUGCCUCGUACGUACGCACGCAUAACAAUGGCUGCUGCUUAUCGCCUCCGCCCAACCUCUCCUUUGUGGACACAUGGUUUCUGAAGUUGGACAGCUCUUUGACUUUUCACAAUUUCAAAAGGCUCAGCAAUACAGCAAAGCCUGCCAAAAAUAUAUUCAACUCAUGGAUGUUCCUCUCCACGGAAGUCUUUAGUAAAAGGCGAAAGACUUGUGCGCUUUGAAGAGAAACCAGAGUCAGCAUGGCCCUCUGUUCCUGAGCAGCAGAGGAGG
rnacentral:misc_RNA from 1 species